rnacentral:lncRNA from 1 species
AUGGAGCUGCGAGGGCAAAGAAGCGCUCUGCACACAAACAAAUACUGUCCCUUGACCAAUCGUUGCAGAAGGAUUCUUCUAGCAAAUACUGCAGCCUCUGCGGUAAGAAUCUGGCUCCUGAGGGGGCAGCUCCUUCUCCUGUUGCUGUGCUCUGGUCUGCAGAGACCCACGAUUGCAGUUAAAAUCGACUUUGACUUGGCACCAAAUUCCUUUGAUGAUCAGUACCGAGGCUGCAGCCAACAAGUCAUGGAGAUGCUGCUUCAAGGGGAUUAUUUCAUGGAAGAACUAGAAUCCAGUAAGCAUUACCGCAAAGUCUGGCAGCAAACACACUUUAACUGGUUGAACCAAGAAAAACCUCUCCCCGGGAACGUGACUAUCACACAUGCUGUGGCUGUCUCGGUUUAUUUAUCGGACGACAGAGUUCACCUAGACUUCUCCAGAGCCAUGGCCAGCGCUGCUGGGUCUCCGCAGCAGUAUAAACAUUCAUUCCGCUUCAAAUAUCUGCACUACUUCCUGACCUCAGCAAUCCAGCUGCUGAGGAAAGAGAUUGUCUCAAGGAAAGACUCUCUGUGUUACGAGGUGCAGCAUGAGUUGAAGGGCGUUUACUUGCAAGCCCCCGUGGGUGCCAUCGUUCGCUUUGGCCAGUUCCUCUCCACCUCCCCAGCAACAGAACAGGCACAGAGGUUUGGGAACCAAACUCUAUUUACCAUGCUGACCUGCCUGGGGGCACCAGUACAAGACUUCUCUCUCAAGAAGGAGGUCUUGGUCCCUCCCUAUGAGCUGUUUAAAGUGGUCAAUGUGAGCUACCAUCCAAGAGGAAAUUGGUUGCAAUUGCUGCCAAAUGGGAACCAAAGCACGUACAACUGUCAGCUGCUAAAAGGUAUUGUUAUUGAUCCAAAUUCAAUUCACUGUAACCAGGAUCGGGAUUUCCCUAGCGGCUCAGUUGGUAAGGAGACCACCUGCAAUGCGGGAGACCCAGAUUGGGAAGAUCCCCUGGAGAGGGGCAUGGCAACCCACUCCAGUAUUCUUGCUAGGAAAAUCCCCAUGGAUAGAGGAGCCUGGCAGGCUACAAUCCAUCGGGUUACAAAGAGUUGA